GUGCUCGCUUUGGCAGUACAUAUACCAAAGUUGGAAUGAUACAGAGAAGACUAGGAUGGCCCCUGCAAAGGAUGACACAUAAAUUCGUGAAGCGUUCCAUAUUUAA
rfam:Myotis davidii contig141550, whole genome shotgun sequence.